UGGCCAAGUUCUGGACAUGUGACCAAAUAGAACACAGAUCAGGAGUCACAGUUGGUGUGAGGUAGCUGAGACAGUUGGUAUCUGGCCUGCUAUAAUUGAGGUUGAGAUUUCACUCCAGGACUCCAGUGGCAGAGACAGUGCUCUGAGGCAGCCUGUGAGACCAUGAUUGGAGAAGAGGCCCCUGUCUACUCCCCAAUACUCAGCCAAGUUCUGGACAUGUGACCAAAUAGAACACAGAUCAGGAGUCACAGUUGGUGUGAGGUAGCUGAGACAGUUGGUAUCUGGCCUGCUAUAAUUGAGGUUGAGAUUUCACUCCAGGACUCCAGUGGCAGAGACAGUGCUCUGAGGCAGCCUGUGAGACCAUGAUUGGAGAAGAGGCCCCUGUCUACUCCCCAAUACUCAGGCUUCCUCCAGUGGCUGGAAUUUACCUACUAGCUCUACGCUCUGUCAGCUUACAGCAGCACCAGCCAUGAUGUCAUGGUCAAAGUGGUCAAGCACAGCACCCUAUGCCAGCUCCUGACUUUGUAUUUGCAACAUGUCCUGGAUCUGUGACCACCAGCAGCAGAUGGUGCAAUGAACUUCCUGAACAAGAUGUGAAAGUGUUUCCCGCUGAGCCUUGAGAGGUGAACAUACAUCGCGCCUGUCAUCUGGAUGGAACAACUUGAGGAAGGGCCGUCCAUAUUCCUGCUCCCUAACCAGGACACUGCUAAGGAGCACGAGAAUCCACCUUGCUACAUGUUAAAGAAGAGAGACAACUGGAGCCUUCCCCUUACACUCGUGCACUCCAUCUAGCAGGCUUCAAAAGCCUAAUCUGUGAUUCUAGACACCGGGAAGGAGGAGACUGAGGGGUGAAGGCUGGCCUGGCCUGCGUGUUCUGCCAGGGCAGUGACCUGCAAAUGAUGUUCCGCUGACGAGAUUGUUGUGUAGUAACUGGGGAAGUCUAAGAGGCUUUUCAAAAGUAAACAGCAUAUGCAUCUGGAGCAUGCUGGGAACAUAAUUUUCAUAGUAAUAUUAUUUUCAAUAAUCUA
rnacentral:sRNA from 1 species